GACGUAGGGCGCGAGCGUUGUCCGGAUUUAUUGGGCGUAAAGAGCUCGUAGGCGGCUUAGAAAGUCAUGUGUGAAACCUCCAGGCUCAACCUGGAGACGCCACUUGAUACUUCUAUGACUUGAGUUUGGUAGGGGAUCACGGAAUUCCUGGUGUAGCGGUGAAAUGCGCAGAUAUCAGGAGGAACACCGAUGGCGAAGGCAGUGAUCUGGGCCAAUACUGACGCUGAGGAGCGAAAGCGUGGGGAGCGAACAGG
rnacentral:rRNA from 1 species